ensembl:lncRNA
UUUCUCUCCCUGCAUUCACAUUCCAUUUCCCAUUGUGCCAGACAUGUCUGGUUUUUCUCUUUUAUUUCCAAGUCUUUAACUUUGAUCUUUUUACCACUUUUCAAUUUUUAUUUUUUUUUAACCUUUCUUCCAAAUCCCCUCUUAACAUUUUAAGUUUAGCGGCACUCAACGAGCCGUUUUCUGGAAACCCAAACUCUUUUGUCCAGUAUGGGAGACACUCUGUACAUGUUUUCCCGUAUUUCUGCUGCAUCAUUGCCACAAUCGGACCCGACGUUCCGUGUGUUUUGCGGACUGGCCACCCAUCUUUUACUGGUGGACCCUACCGGUUUACUUAUUACAAUACAGUCGUCACCGUAAGGCUUAGUUUCUUUACUCAAGGAAAAACCCCACUCAAAACUCACGCUUCGAUUUUGCCACGAUCUUGUUCUAAAGGUAAUUCAGUAGAACUCACAUUUGGUUAACAAUAACAGUGAUAUCGUUUUGAAUGUUUUUCAGUGUAAAACUCACGCUUCGAUAUUGCCAUGAUCUUAUUCUAAAGGUAAUUCAGUAGAACUCACGUUUGGUUAACAAUAAGAGUGAUAUCGUUUUACCUGCUUCAGCAUAAAAUUCACGUAGGCUAUUUCCACGAUCUUAUUCCACAGGUGGAAUUCACGUGUGGUCAAUAGCAACGGUCUUAUUUGCUAUCUGCGUUACGAUCUCGGAGAAUUUGAUCCGAGUGAAAUCUUUACCGUAAGCAAUCCUGUCUUCUACUUGUAGUCUAGCGAUGUUACGAUCUCAGAGAAUUUGUUUGAAAUCGUACACGAUCCUAUCUACCUUCGCAUAAAAUGAUGCAUUAGAAAUAUCCCGGAAUCAUGUACUCAAAAAAGAUAUUAAAAGAUUAUUAUAAGGAAAAAAAAAAAAAAAUGUUAAAAAAUAAUUUUAUUCCCCAGACUAUAACAACCACUUGUAUAACAACCACUUGAUCAGUCAUCUGUCUCCGUUAUGUUCAACUCUUACUGUUACUUUAUAAUCGGAAUUUCAACUUCUUACCCGAGUUUGCAGAAAUUAAUUCUUCUUCGCUGGAUACGCGUGACGUCAAUCAGGACUCCUCUGGUUUCCGCCGGUCCUUUCUCUCUUGUCUAAGGAGGUAUGAGGCAGGAUCAUCAGCUGGUGAUCCUGGAAAAGGCCUUUUUCCCCGGACGGUCCCCUGGAGCCUGACGGACGGUCAGUGAAUCCUGUUCGUGACGCCAAAUUGUUGUGGAAUAUUUCAAUAAAAGCUCUGUAGAAGAGAAUGAUUUGUCUGAUAAAACCGAGUCUUGAUGAAUGAUCAAAGUUGCAAAAAGUCCAUUUAUUGCUUGCAAGCAGGAGGUCAAAUACACAGGCACGUAUCACAGUGCUCUGUGGAAAUGGCGUCUCCGAGCACUAAAGACGCUGAGUUUUUAUACACAUGUGGAGGACAUUCUCUGUGUCAGUUACGAGAAGCAGCAAAGCAGGUUGAGAUAAGAACUCAGGGGAAGCUGAGGGUAGCACACACACACAAGAUACUCCUUAAUGGCCGGUGCAAAUCAUUAUUACUUGACAUAAAAGUAAAACUUGGAUCCAGAAAUUUCGUACAGAAUAAGAUAUCAACCAAGGCCAAUAAGAGGAGUCCUUUGUUUUGAAGCUUCUAUGAGAUCGAGUCAACCGUCCUCCCUUCUCAGGGCACAGCUGCAAACUAACAUUUUGUAUCAUGCUGCUCUUUGCACAUCAGGGUCAAAUACAGGACACUUCAGACACGGCUUUAGCACAAAUGCAUGUAAUACUCAUUACAAAAUACAUAAUGUGCUGGCAAGCCCAACCUCCUCCCUCCUCGGCCCAAGGCACCUGUGCACCAGCAGGUCUGGUUCAGGUCUGACAUUCUAUCAUAGGAAAUAAAACAUUAUAUUAAUUUCCCCAUGGUAUACAGGAUGUAGAUUAAAAUUCUACAACCUACCUGCUUAGUGUAGUUUGCUCACACACACGGUACUGGCGAGCAAAAAAACAGAGCAACCCAGACUUCAGCACAUGCCGGACAACGAGAACAAACGUGAGUUGCUCAACUCUCACGGGAUCUCCUUUUAUAUGGAGAGGCUCUCCUUGAGUUUAAGCCUCCCGCUCUGUGCUGAGGCUCCCCGGUCCUACGGUCCCACCUUUCACAUAUGUUUGCUUUGUUGACACGUUGCUGCAAUGUUUUACUUUUCAAUGUCAACUACAUUUUAUUAAAUGCAUUUUAUUUCACUCAGCUUAAUUUGGGACAAGUUUAUUAACAUUAAUGAAACAUGUCUUGUUCCCUAAGGGUGCAGGUCCUAAUGAAGUCUACCAAUCACUCCACCCAUUGAUGAUGGACAAAGACCAAGUCUACAGCACCAUAACACCCAACAAAAGGGAGGGACAGUCUACAUCCCCACUUUGAAGGAUCUCUGCAGCAGCAGCUAUUGCAUCAAUAUUAAAUGCCUGAGUGUUGAAAGAUAAAAUAAGUAUUUUGCAUUUGCUAAAUAAAGCUUGGGACAUACUUUCAUAAUUCCAUGUCAGCGGACAGCUUCACACUUGUACUAGUCGGUAUUUGGUUUUAUAUAAACUUCUUUGAAGACAAAUUGUGCACAGUCCUGGGUUUGCCUGUCAGGACACUCAUGGUCCAAUCACAGAGGGCGGAGGAAAGUCCCAGGUCUCUGAGCCCACUGACGAGCUUAGAGGCCACGAUGGUGCUGAUGCCAGCGGUCCUCAAUGAACAGCGUUUUGCCAUUUGUGUUCCUCCGGUCCAGGUGGAGGUUUGGGUGGAUGCUGAGAGCUUUGCUGGCGUCUGUGGAUGUGUUUGUCAUUCGGGCAGUGGGGUUUGCUCUUUUGGGGGACAGGGACUAUGGUGGUCUUUUUGGAGAAUGUGGGGGAAUACAGUGAAAUGUGUUGUGGAAUAUUUCAAUAAAAGCUCGGUAGAAGAGAAUGAUUUGUCUGAUAAAACAGAGUCUUGAUGAAUGUUUUGAAGCUUCUAUGAGAUCGAGUCGACCGCCCUCCCUUCUCAGGGCACAGCUGCAAACUAACAUUUUGUAUCAUGCUGCUCUUUGCACGUCCGGGUCAAAUACAGGACACUUGAGACACGGCUUUAGCACAAAACAAUGUUAUAACAUAUUUUUACCAUUACAAAUGUUAUAAAUAUCACUGAGCACAUCUGCCAGUUGUUAUGCACAAGCCACAAGAGCUCGGCCGAGGAUGCCUUCAGGUCCAGGUGCCUUUGGUGGCUUAAGAUUUACACACAUCCACCCUGAAUACUGCUGGUGACGCAACAAUGAUGAAGACUGUGGGUAAAACACUUCGUCAUGGCCUUUUAUUUGCUCUAAACUUGACUUACGUUUUAGGGCAGAAAGAAAACGUAAAGUUUGGGACCUCAGAAGAACGUUUUGUUUUAGAAUUGGUGCGUCUCAAUCUGCUAACAUGCUCAUCUUUCAUUGUGUCAUACACACUUAGUUUUUGUGUUGUAAGUGUCAAAUUGUCGGCCUUUUACAUUUAGAUUGUGUACUUUUCUUUUCUUCAAAUUCAGAAUAAAUGUUUUUUUUCUUUAUGUGAAUGGCAUCUGGUUUUGUGCACACUGACAUAAUCUUACACUGUGUUGGAGAGACAUUCACCAGGGGACUGUACCUUUAAGGGAAAGUGUUUUGAUGUGAGGUUAACGUGCAUGUCCGCAGUAGUUCUCACGUGUUGUUUUGUGUUAUUGAAGUGGAGAGUAAAGCUGACUCAACGCAUCUCCGUCUCCUGUCUCGUCUCUUUUCACCCUCCACAACUGUUUGCUUUGCGGCUGAGCGUCAGUGAGAGUACGAGUAGGUGUGUGUGUAGCGGCAGCGUCCUCAAGAGAUUGCAGUUGUAGUUGGAUCGCGUCCCUUCGUCUGUGUCCGAGCUGUCUCGUUCCUUUGCUCCUUCAAACUGAGUCAAAGAAUUCAGCCUUCCAGCCCACGAUUUUGGUUGUUAUUUACGUUGUUAACUUCCGACCGUAGUUAUCAGUGAAAAGUCACUUUACUGCCUUAACUUUCACACUUUAAAAGGUUGAUCAAUGUCUUACUGCGGUUGUGACCGUUUCAAAGAUCGUUUAUACUUGUUAUUAUGAACAGAAACUGAUCAACGUGAGUUCAAGUAGACAAAUUAUGAACCUGAUCUUGUCACGGCCAGUUUACCAAUGACCCAAAUGCAGACAGACGGCAGGUUAGGUGGAAAGAAAAGCUUUAUUUUAUGGGUACAUGGAUGCAGUUGAGGAAGCAGUGACAAGGAAGUGUAAAAAGUGCUGGCUGGGCGGCGAUGCGGUAUGAAGAUGUACUGGACUGACACAAUCACACAGGUUAUGUUACACGGUACCAAGAUUACCGGCUAACGGGGCGAGAGUAUAUCUGCCACAGACGUGAAGAGACGAUCGGGCGAUGAGACAACCGGAAACCGGGAUAAUUCAGCUGGCGGUGACGAGGGCUUGAUGAUGGACCAAUGAGGAGCCCAGAUGCCAGCUGAUUGCAGCCACACACACACACACACACACACACACACACACAGAAGGAACAAACCGUAGCAAAGCUGAUGUCAUAUUAGAGCUGGUGGGUCUUUUGGGGGGGUUAGGGUCAGCCAUUCAGUUUCAGUAAACAUCUCAGUAUGAUUCAAUGCAAAACAAUUAUUAUUCUUCAUUAUUACUUCGCAGUUAAGUAUUUAACAUCUUAUUCAAACAAUUUAGUACAAUGAUAGAUAUACACAGUAUAUAACUAUAUAUAAACAAUAUGAUAUAACUACUAUAUUGUAUAAAUAUAAUAAAAAUAUAAUAUUAAAUACAAUACAAAUAUACUUAUAAAAUCCACCUCUCCUUUCUCUGGUACAGAGUUCGGGUCAGGUCUUCUUGGAAGGACACUGCUCGUGGUCACUCUUGUUUUAACUGGUGUGAGACUCGCGUAGGGCGGUGAAGAGCUCUGCCCACAACUCAAUGGAUUUUAGGACUCUGAAAGGAUGUGUCACUCAUUGACUUUAAUCAGUGAUUGGCUAAACUGCUUCUAAAGGCUGGCGCAUGCUUCUGCUUCUGCGUCUUUACACAGAGUCGUGUCAACGCACUCGUUUCAAUUCAUGGUUCUAAAGUCUUGCGUGUGUUGCAGAGCAAUUCACCGCCAGAACAACAGGUGGAGUAACGUGUUUUUGUUGAAGACGACCAAAAGAGUGACGUCUUGCGUAGCUUUUGACGCUAGUCUAGAAAAAUGGGUCGACGCACGCAAGAACGCAAGAAGAGGUGAAAAGACGCCCAACGGGCUCUUGAGUGCGAGUGUCCUUGCGUCUCUCUGAAAACGCAGAAGCAUGAACUAGGUUUUGGAUCCACCGCUUUGGGACACGGCCCGAGCCCAGCUGAGACAUGCAGAGAGGGCGUGCAGGAAAAGCAUAUAUUUUGCGCAGAUAUCUUAAUUUACUAAUAUUACUGGGUACAUUCCAUGUUUCAAAAACACACAUAUUGACUAUUUGUAAAAUGUAUGUUUUAUAUAAUGAAAAUGAUUAUUAGGAUUUCAUUUAAAAUGACCAGAAUGUGUCCUUCUCUCAGCCUGAUCUAUAGGUAUGAUGCUCUUGAGGUAAAGAAUCUUCCUAAAUGAAAUGAGAAGAUUAUGAUCUGGCUGUAUUUUAUAUAUUUUUUCAAAUAUAAAGCUUUACUGUCAAGCUUGCUGCAGCAACAGGAAAAGUUGCCACCACAAACAGGAAGUCCCUCACAGGCCAGACCAUUUCCUUUCGUAGAAGCACCCGCCCCCCCGUCCACAUCAGAGGCUGAGUCAAUAGAGGAACACGGCCACUAAAUGAGAAACAGCUUGUGUGUUGCAGGAGGAAGAAGAGCAUCAACUGGAGACAGUAAGAGGAAGUGAAGGAGGGACAUGAAGACGGUGAUGACUGACCUGAUGAUUCCUACACACUCGUUCACUCACUCUCUCACUUUCACGAUGAUAAAAAUCUAUGUUUACUUUUGUCUUCUUUCUGGUGAGUUAGUUUUUUUCUGUAUCUUCUGCAUUUACACAAACUGUAGCUUGCGUACAAAAGAUGUAGCUGUUGAUUGAAACAUGUAUAAUUCAAUUAGGGGUUUAUUUUAUUUUUCAAAUUUGCCGUCAUGAAUAGUAAAAACUAACGUCAAAGGAAAUGUACGUAUGAACUAUGACAAAGGCAAAAUGUCUCCUUUAUUUCUGCUUGUAGGUCUGAGUGUUGUGCAGAUGAAGCCUCUGAACAUAAAUCGUCGUGUUGGUGAAAGUGUGACAAUCAGCUGCUCAGACCGGAACGUUUGGGCUGAUGUAACAGAGAAUGUCAAGUACUUUUGUUACAGUCCAUGCACGGAGGACCGACACAUCAUCAUUAAAGCAGCAUAUGGAAAAAUUGAAAAUAAAAACAGAAUAGAGUUACAUAACGAAGGAAAAACCUUGUUCGUGACCUUCAGCAAUCUCCAAAAGUCAGACUCCAAUAUAUACUAUUGUGGACUGGAGAGAUUUGGCCCUGACUCAUAUAUAAAGGUGAAUCUAAAAGUCACUGAUGGUGAGUUUAUUCUCUAAAUAUUCUUAUUGAGAAAAUCCUUGUUUGCCCAAAAGUAAUAACUUUCUUAAUUGUUGGUAUGUUCACUUGUCUGUUAUUUUCAGCUCCGCCCCCCAGUCCCAGCAUGACUCCACAAACUGUCAUUGUUGUUCCCACCUCCUCAUUUACAAAGAGCUCCACGAUGUUUUCUAACAGCUCAGAUGUUAUUAUUGAUACGUCUACGUCAUACACCACCCUCAAUACACCACCUGAUGCACCAGCACAAGGAUCAGUUAGUGAGUACAUCAUCCAUGAACAUGUUACAGUAUAUUGAC